rnacentral:rRNA from 1 species
UACAGAGGUCCCAAGCGUUGUUCGGAUUCAUUGGGCGUAAAGGGUGCGUAGGCGGCGCGGUAAGUCGGGUGUGAAAUCUCGGAGCUUAACUUCGAAACUGCAUUCGAUACUGCCGUGCUUGAGGACUGGAGAGGAGACUGGAAUUUACGGUGUAGCGGUGAAAUGCGUAGAUAUCGUAAGGAAGACCAGUGGCGAAGGCGGGUCUCUGGACAGUUCCUGACGCUAAGGCACGAAGGUCAGGGGAGCAAACGGG